AUAAGCAAUGCCUGAGCUCUCAAGCAGCAAGAAUGAAAAGUGCAUUCUCUACUAAUUUUGAAGGACAACCUGGGCUUCUUGUCUACAAAUUACAAAUUCGGACCAACGCAUACACCCAAGGAUCCACAAGAAACGAAUGUACCGGCUGAAUGCAGCCGAACAAAAUCAUUACAGAAUUAGUAGUUUUCUGACCCACUUACUAAAAUUAAAAAAAAUGAAGAAGAAGCGGAAUCCUUCCAUUGAGACCCCAGGGAAAUGUAGAUUUAUACCUUUGAUGUAUUGCUUGGUUCUUCUUCAAUUAAAUUCUGGGAUCAGUUUUUGAGUCCUUGCCACCUUCUCUUCUUUUAAUAGCAUAACUUCCAUCUUCCAGCAGCAUCAUAAUUGGUCCCUGAUUCCUGACUUCCUCCCCCCUGUGGUUCAUCCUUAACACCAGCACC